GAGCUGUCCGUGCAGAGCCAGCAGGAGAAGAAGGAGCUGGAGGCCGUCGUCCUGGAACUGCAGGCGCAACUCUCCGCCCUCACGCCAUGCGAUUCUUCCACUCUGGCUAAAGAUCUUUCCAUCCCGCUGGUCAACCAGUGGUCUGCCGUCACGAACAACCAAGGCGAUGUCAAGAUUUUCCGAAGGAGGAGUUUCCACAGUCUGGAGCUGCUCUCUGCAGAUGUGAGUCUGAACUCCGACUCCCAGAAGACGGAAGCGAGACAGAACGGAGACGCCGGCUGGACCACAGCAGGUAAAACCGAUGACUUUGAGCCUUUGCUGCAGGAAAAGAUCUACUCCUAGCUG